UAAGGAAUAUUGGACAAUGGGCGGAAGCCUGAUCCAGCCAUCCCGCGUGUAGGAAGACGGCCCUAUGGGUUGUAAACUACUUUUAGAUAGGAAGAAUUUUGUUUAUUUAUGAGCAAUUGACGGUACUAUCAGAAUAAGCACCGGCUAACUCCGUGCCAGCAGCCGCGGUAAUACGGAGGGUGCGAGCGUUAUCCGGAAUCACUGGGUUUAAAGGGUGCGUAGGCGGCUAGAUAAGUCAGAGGUGAAAGGCAUGAGCUUAACUGAUGAAUUGCCUUUGAUACUGUUUAGCUUGAAUUGUGUUGAGGUUAGCGGAAUGUGACAUGUAGCGGUGAAAUGCAUAGAUAUGUCAUAGAACACCAAUUGCGUAGGCAGCUAGCUAGGCAUUAAUUGACGCUGAGGCACGAAAGCGUGGGGAGCGAACAGGAUUAGAUACCCCCGUAGUCC
rnacentral:rRNA from 1 species